rnacentral:rRNA from 1 species
UACGGGGGAGCAAGCGUUGUUCGGAUUUACUGGGCGUAAAGGGCGCGUAGGCGGCCUCCGCAAGUCAGUUGUGAAAUCUCCGAGCUUAACUCGGAAAGGUCAACUGAUACUGCGGGGCUAGAGUGCGGAAGGGGCAACUGGAAUUCUUGGUGUAGCGGUGAAAUGCGUAGAUAUCAAGAGGAACACCUGCGGCGAAGGCGGGUUGCUGGGCCGACACUGACGCUGAUGCGCGAAAGCCAGGGGAGCGAACGGG